rnacentral:rRNA from 1 species
AGCGCAGGCGGUUUUUUAAGUCUGAUGUGAAAGCCCUCGGCUUAACCGAGGAAGCGCAUCGGAAACUGGGAAACUUGAGUGCAGAAGAGGACAGUGGAACUCCAUGUGUAGCGGUGAAAUGCGUAGAUAUAUGGAAGAACACCAGUGGCGAAGGCGGCUGUCUGGUCUGUAACUGACGCUGAGGCUCGAAAGCAUGGGUAGCGAACAGAAUUAGAUACUCUGGUA